rnacentral:rRNA from 1 species
GACGAACCUUGCUAACGUUAUUCGGAAUUACUGGGCUUAAAGGGUGCGUAGGCGGUGCAGCAAGUCGGGUGUGAAAGCCCUCAGCUCAACUGAGGAAUUGCGCCCGAAACUGCUGUGCUUGAGGAAUACAGAGGUAUGCGGAACUUAGGGUGGAGCGGUGAAAUGCAUAGAUAUUAUCAAGGACACCGAUUGCGAAGGCAGCUUACUAAGGAGUUACUGACACUGAGGCACGAAAGCGUGGGGAUCAAACAGG